rnacentral:rRNA from 1 species
AUGGAGCACCAGGGACACGGCACCGGCGAGAAGAAGGGCAUCAUGGAGAACAUCAAGGAGAAGCUCCCCGGUGGCCAAGGUGACCACCAGCAGACCGCUGGCACCCACGGGCAGCAUGGACACACUGGAAUGACAGGCACGGAGAUGCAUGACACCACGGCCACCGGCGGCACCCAUGGGCAGCAGGGGCUUACCGGAACGACUGGCACUGGGACACACGGCACCGGUGAGAAGAAGAGCCUCAUGGACAAGAAGAAGGGCGUCAUGGAGAACAUCAAGGAGAAGCUCCCCGGUGGCCACGGCGACCACCAGCAGACCGGUGGAGCCUACGGGCAGCAGGGACACACCGGCACGGCGACGCAUGGCACUCCGGCUGGCGGCGGCACCUACGGGCAGCAUGCACACACUGGAAUGACCGGCACGGAGACGCACGGCACCACGGCCACCGGCGGCACCCAUGGGCAGCACGGACACGCCGGAACGACUGGCACUGGGACACACGGCACCGACGGGGUGGGCGAGAAGAAGAGCCUCAUGGACAAGAUCAAGGACAAGCUGCCUGGACAGCACUGA